UAGUUCGAUUAUGGCUCAGGAUGAACGCUGGCGGCAUGCCUAAUACAUGCAAGUCGAACGGAGUGAAGCCUUCGGGUUUCAUUCAGUGGCGAACGGGUGAGUAAUACGCAGGGAACCUGGCCAUGGCAGGGGGAUACACUCUGGAAACGGAGCAUAAGACCCCAUAGGCAGUAAGGCGGCAUCGCCUUACUGUUAAAGAAAGCUGAAAGGCUUUGGCGAUGGAUGGACCUGCGGUGCAUUAGCUUGUUGGUGAGGCAACGGCUUACCAAGGCGAUGAUGCAUAGCCGGCCUGAGAGGGCGGACGGCCACACUGGGACUGAGACACGGCCCAGACUCCUGCGGGAGGCAGCAGUAGGGAAUUUUCGUCAAUGGGCGCAAGCCUGAACGAGCAAUGCCGCGUGAGUGAGGAAGGUCUUCGGACUGUAAAGCUCUGUUGCCGGGGAAAAAGGGGAAAUGCAGGAAAUGGCAUUUCAUGGAUGGUACCCGGCCAGAAAGCCACGGCUAACUACGUGCCAGCAGCCGCGGUAAUACGUAGGUGGCGAGCGUUAUCCGGAAUGAUUGGGCGUAAAGGGUGCGCAGGCGGUCUGUUAAGUCUGAAGGCAAAGGGAUGAGCUCAACUCAUUUAUGAUUCAGAAACUGGCAGACUUGAGGACAGGAGAGGGCGGUGGAACUCCAUGUGUAGCGGUAAAAUGCGCAGAGAUAUGGAAGAACACCAGUGGCGAAGGCGGCCGCCUGGCCUGUGACUGACGCUGAGGCACGAAAGCGUGGGGAGCAAAUAGGAUUAGAUACCCUAGUAGUCCACGCCGUAAACGAUGAGGAGCAGGUGUUGGGAGUGAAAUCUCAGUGCCGAAGCCAACGCAGUGACUCCUCCGCCUGGGGAGUAUGCACGCAAGUGUGAAACUCAAAGGAAUUGACGGGGGCCCGCACAAGCGGUGGAGUAUGUGGUUUAAUUCGAAGCAACGCGAAGAACCUUACCAGGUUUUGACAUCGGAUGCGAAGGUGCAGAGAUGCGCUGGAGGCUAUCAUCCAGACAGGUGGUGCAUGGUUGUCGUCAGCUCGUGUCGUGAGAUGUUCAGUUAAGUCUGGCAACGAGCGCAACCCCCGUGGUAUGUUACUAACGCUUAGGGCGAGGACUCAUAUCAGACUGCCGGUGACAAACCGGAGGAAGGCGGGGAUGACGUCAAAUCAUCAUGCCCCUUAUGACCUGGGCUACACACGUACUACAAUGGCGUCUACAGAGGGAAGCGACCCUGAGGAGGGAAGCGAAACCGGAAAAGGGCGUCCCAGUUCGGAUUGAAGUCUGCAACCCGACUUCAUGAAGAUGGAAUCGCUAGUAAUCGCGGAUCAGCAUGCCGCGGUGAAUACGUUCCCGGGCCUUGUACACACCGCCCGUCAAACCAUGGAAGCCGGCAACGCCCGAAGCCGGUGGCAUAACCUUUUAGGAGUGAGCCGUCGAAGGCGGGGCUGAUGACUGGGGUUAAGUCGUAACAAGGUACCC
rnacentral:rRNA from 1 species